rnacentral:lncRNA from 1 species
GCCCGCCGCGCGCUCGCUCACGGCGGGGCCGCAGCGGGUGGGGGCUCGGCCCGAGGCCGCCCCCGCGUGCGCGCCGCGUGCGCCUUCGGGAAGCUUCGGUGCCCGCCCUCGGCGCCCCGGCGCCCUGCGGGUCUGUGCUGGCAGAGGCCCGAGAGCCGCGUCCCGGGCGGCGGGAGAGCCGCCUGUCGCGUCUGGUGAGGAGGAGCGGUGUCCCCGACAGGCCUGUCCUCUGCCCCAAGUGAGGAGUACAGAAGAGGAGACAUCAUGUUGUCCUGGAGGGGCUCUCAGCAGAGUCUCUCGUCACUGUGAUGGCCCUGCAGAUGGCCAUAAUUAUCCUCAUUGUAUGGACAAGGAAGUCAAGCCCCAGCACCAUGUGAUGUAUUUCAAAUACAAUCGACCAGCAUAUGCAGGAGUGGAGACUCCAGAACAUACACCUGAUUCACUCCUCUCCUGGAAACACAAUCAGAAGACCUAAGAAUGGAAUCCUUUUCAUUUUCCCAAGGUGGAGGUCUGAUGUAAAGAGAGCCCUAUAGACUAUCCUAGAGUCUAGGGGUCAGAGAAAUGUGGUAAGAAUUCAGAUCUAGGGAUGCCUGGGUGGCUCAGUCGGUUAAGCGGCUGCCUUUGGCUCAGGUCAUGAUCCCAGGGUCCUGGGAUCGAGUUCCACAUUGGGCUCCUUGCUCAGCGGGGAGCCUGCGUCUCCCUCUGCCUCUGCCUCUCCCCCUGCUUGUGCUCUGUCUCUCUCUGAC